AUCCCCGCUCCCCACGCCCCCAGACGGUGCCACUACUUCCAGCCCCCGCAGCCCGUCCUCUGCACGCUCGCUCCGCACUCCCCAAGCCCAGACCUGACAUCUGGCUGGGCCUCCGCUCUCCCGCUCGCGAGCUGCCAGGCGGCGCCCCUCCUCCCGCGCCGGGCCCUCCCCCGCGGGUCCAGCUGCCAGCCCCCUCCCCGCUGGCAGGCAAGCCCAGGCAGACAGCCGGCCGGGCCUGCCCCCGCAGCCGCGCCAGCCCUGCCAAGCCCGGCCGCCAGGGCUGGGGGGUGGGGGUGGGGGCGGCAGUGCCAGCUCCCCUCAAGCAAGCAGUCCCCGGCCGACCUCCUGCCCCGGACAGGGUUGGGGCCGCGCACCCUCCUCCCGGCUCCCGCGGCCCCGUGCGGCUCCCGCAGCCCGGCAUCCGCGUCCCGGGUGCGCCCUCUUUGCUCCCUCAGGAUCUCAGGACGCACUUCGGUCGGAGCUGGCUUGGCUCUCGGUCCCUCUCACUGGUUCCUGAAUGCUUCCCUCUCACACAAGUUUGCUCGCAGCCCUUUUCCCCCAGGACAGGUCCUGUCCGCCGCCUGCUAGCCGCGUCCCCUCCUCUCCUCUCCGGACCUCCUCCGCCCCAGCCAGAUCCUAUGGUCCCCACCUGGACGUCUCCACCCACCAAGUCCUAGCCUGCUCUGGAUGAGGCACUGCUGAGUGAGGCUGUGCCUAUCUCAUCUCCACUGGCAACAGAAGAGCCAGGGAGCUCAUCCUGAUGUGCUGGAGGACUGUCUUCACACUGACCGGACAUCAGCCUGGGGGUCCAGUUGAAGUUUCAGCCUUGAGAUCCUGAGGGGAACCAGUGUCAAAGGUGACAGCUGCUUCUGUGAGGGGUUCUGCUUGGCCAGAGAGGCUGGGCCAUCUCCCAGAGGGUUCAUGGGGAUGCGGGUGGGGUGUGCAGGGACUCAGUCUGUACGAAGAGAGAGCCUCUAGUUCCCAGAGUGGAAAGGCAAUGAGGCUAGGAAACACUGUUGUCACUUAACAAAUGAAGAUACAAAUGAAAGAAUAGGAGCUGAACAUGCAAAGGAGUUCGGGUUUUUUUUUAUUGCCCUCCCUCCUCCCUGCAUUUGGACAGGUUUUCUUUGCUGUGAUUAUUCCUCAUGAAUCAUCAUCCAUAGAAAGUGACUGAGGCAAUGGAGAGUGAAUAAUGAAUCCCCUAAA